AUAAGCGGAGGAAAAGAAACUAACAAGGAUUCCCCUAGUAGCGGCGAGCGAAGCGGGAAGAGCUCAAAUUUAUAAUCUGGCACCUUCGGUGUCCGAGUUGUAAUCUCUAGAAGUGUUUUCCGCGUUGGACCGCACACAAGUCUGUUGGAAUACAGCGGCAUAGUGGUGAAACCCCCGUAUAUGGUGCGGACGCCCAGCGCUUUGUGAUACACUUUCAAUGAGUCGAGUUGUUUGGGAAUGCAGCUCAAAUUGGGUGGUAAAUUCCAUCUAAAGCUAAAUAUUGGCGAGAGACCGAUAGCGAACAAGUACCGUGAGGGAAAGAUGAAAAGCACUUUGGAAAGAGAGUUAACAGUACGUGAAAUUGUUGGAAGGGAAACGCUUGAAGUCAGACUUGCUUGCCGGAGCUUGCUUCGGUUUGCAGGCCAGCAUCAGUUUUCCGGGGUGGAUAAUGACGGUUUGAAGGUAGCAGUCUCGGCUGUGUUAUAGCUUUCCGUUGGAUACAUCCUGGGGGACUGAGGAACGCAGCGUGCUUUUUGCGAAGGUUUCGACCUUUUCACGCUUAGGAUGCUGGUGGAAUGGCUUUAAACGACCCGUCUUGAAACACGGACCAAGGAGUCUAACAUGCUCGCGAGUAUUUGGGUGUCAAACCCGGAUGCGCAAUGAAAGUGAAUGUAGGUGGGAACCGCAAGGUGCACCAUCGACCGAUCUGGAUCUUUUGAGAUGGAUUUGAGUAAGAGCGCGUAUGUUGGGACCCGAAAGAUGGUGAACUAUGCCUGAAUAGGGCGAAGCCAGAGGAAACUCUGGUGGAGGCUCGUAGCGGUUCUGACGUGCAAAUCGAUCGUCAAAUUUGGGUAUAGGGGCGAAAGACUAAUCGAACCAUCUAGUAGCUGGUUCCUGCCGA
rnacentral:rRNA from 1 species